AGGAUGAACGCUGGCGGAGUGCCUAACACAUGCAAGUCGAGCGGCAGCGCGAAGAAUUUAUUCUUUGGCGGCGAGCGGCGGACGGCUGAGUAACGCGUGGGAACAUACCCCAAAGUGAGGGAUAAGCAUCGGAAACGGUGUCUAAUACCGCAUAUGAUCUUCGGAUUAAAGGAUUUAUCCGCUUUGGGAAUGGCCUGCGUACGAUUAGAUAGUUGGUGAGGUAAAGGCUCACCAAGUCUACGAUCGUUAACUGGUUUGAGUAGGAUGAUCAGUCAGACUGGAACUGACGACACGGUCCAAGACUCCGUACGGGAGGCAGCAGGUAGAAGGAACUCCUUACCACAA
rnacentral:rRNA from 1 species